rnacentral:rRNA from 1 species
UACGUAGGGGGCAAGCGUUGUCCGGGAUGAUUGGGCGUAAAGGGCGCGUAGGCGGAUACAUAAGUCGGGUGUGAAAGGCGCGGGCUCAACCCGUGUAAGCAUUCGAAACGGUGUAUCUUGAGUGCAGUAGAGGAAAGCGGAAUUUCUGGUGUAGCGGUGGAAUGCGUAGAUAUCAGAAGGAACACCAGUGGCGAAGGCGGCUUUCUGGACUGCUACUGACGCUGAGGCGCGAAGGCGUGGGGAGCAAACAGG